UGAUAUUGACACAAGAAAAAAUAGAUGGUUUCAUGAAGACAAUUCCUGGUUUAUUUUAUACAAGUUUGUGGUGAAAGAUAUAUGGUGAAAUAUGGUAAAAUACAGCCACUCAUACGUUGGGCAGUGCUGACAAGUUGGCAAUACAGUUACUAGGGGAGUUUGUUUUGGUUUGUUUUUGUUAUCUGUUUGCAAUACCCAACACUAAACAUAUGAAGUUGGCUGCAGUAGUUUCAGCUGUGUUGUAUGACAUACCUCUCAAAACAUAACAAAUGGGGAAGCAGAAAAAAGUAUGUUUCAAGAGGACACACCCUGGGAGAGACCAGGGGUGAUCAUACAAACAGAGAUGGAAUAAUAUUUGAUAGGCUAAACUGUAUAGAUCAGAAUUGUGCAAACAACAGAAUUAGGAAGGUAUGCACAUGCAGGAAGUGUGAUGUGAAGAAUCUUCAUCAAAAGCCUGGACCAUAUAAUGGAAAUUCACUUGAUUCAAUAUUGCACAGUCAACCUGAAUUGCAGCUGAUGAUCGUGAACUGCUUGUUGACAAAAGGAGAAAAAGAAUUUUCCAAAAUAGAAAGAGGCAUGGGAGGAGAAAAGGAAGCCUGCGUGACACCAUGUACUAAUGAGAAAAAGUAAAACGAGAAAUGCUCAAGGAGAAAGAUAGUCAAAGAGAACAUGAAGGAAGAUGGAAUGAACUUAUAUGUCAAGUAGAACAGAAUAUUUUUCAAGGACCAAGUCCAUCUACCUGGACAUGUGAAAGAGGUCUGCAUCAGUGAAUCGAUAAGCUAUGCUUCUCCAGAAAAUUAAUGUAAACUGUUUAAUAAAGUGUCAGAUCUACAGCUGCUCAGUUAAAUAUAGGAAGAAACUGCUGAUAGCUUUUUUAUGACAGGGGAUAAACCUGAGGAAGAACCUGGCUCAAGGGAAGAAUAUUUUAAAGAAGAAAAAGGUCACAGAGUUUGUGAUGGAUGUUGAAAGAAGAGUAAGACAAAUUUACAGUAAAAGAAACAAGUGGGAUUGCCAAAACAAGGGAAUAUCUGAAUAUGUUGGGAUGAGCAACUACAAUACAGAAGAUCAGUUAACCUUUCUUCAGACUUAGAACAGAUUCCACUACAAAGCCUCACACCUGACAUUUAAACUUGUCUGCAUGAAAGUUCUUAUGGUGCAGAUACCAGCUGGAUCCAAUUCUCAUUCAGCUAAUAGCUGGAAUGUGGAGAAGCUUCAACCAAAUCUCAAAAGCAAACAAAAUAAUCUGAAGGAUAAAGAUACGACGAAAGCAGCAAAUUCCUCUGAAAUCUACUGGGCUGAGGAAUGAUGAAACACAAGACAAAGCUCUUAUCUAUCAGGAAGUUUAAAGCACACCACCUUUUCAUAUGGGACCUAACUGAACGUAUAAUUGAAACAGUGAGACCACCUGGAUACACAACGUUGUCAACUAUAAAAAGGCAUACACAUACAACAUAUGGUUGCUGGUAUAAACAGGCCAAGCAACUUUUACAGGCACUUCUUGAGUAGCAAGAAAAAAAAGAUUUUAAAGAAAUCUGCCUGAAGUCUAAGCUGUAGAUGGGAGUACAAUAAAGGACUGUACUUGCUGAAUGUAAGCUGCGUGUCAACUACAUCUGAAAGCAAGAGUGAAGAGCUGGCAGAUGUAGGGACAGGUUGUUUAUUGUUCAGAGAGAAUUAAGGCCAGGAAUGGCAACAAGAAGGUAAGCAGUUUGUGAAACCCUAGAGGUUUACUUACUGAGGAAGAGGAGUAGAAUAAAUGAAUUCUACACUAGAAAAAUGCUAGAGCAUUUGCACUGAAGGAAGAUAACAUGCUAGUAUGGAUUACUGUGGUUCAUUAAAAAAUGAUAGUUAAGCAGUGGGUGAAUGUAAAUCAUCCUUAGAAAAUACCAUAUCACUUUGCAGCAAAGUACCAGGUGUACGUUAAAAGGUAUUUAACCUGUGUAAAAAGUACAAGAUAAUGUCUUUCAAAUUAAGGAUAUUUUUCUCUCUUUUUACCUCUCUGUAUCUUGUGGAUAACAAAUAUAAAAGUCAGAUUAUCUUAAUUAAAUUCUACAUUACAGCUUACUCAUUAGUUAUGUCCUCAAUUUAAACUACUGUGGAAAGAGAUGAGAUCUGUGUUAAAAUAUAACAUGCACCUGUGAACAUUAAGGGAGUUCUUGUUUUGUGUUGAUACAUAUCAGAAUAUGUAUAGAAUCAUAGAAUGGCUUGGGUUGGAAAGGACCUUAAGGAUCAUC
ensembl:lncRNA